UUACUACUCUCUCCGACUGAAAUUACUUGUCGAAGAAAUGGAUGUAUCUAGACAUAUUUUAGUUCUAGAUAGAUAUGCCUAGAUACUUCCAUUUUUAUCCAUUUCUGCAACAAGUAAUUCCGGACGGAGGGAGUAUUCA
rfam:Triticum aestivum genome assembly, contig: Triticum_aestivum_CS42_TGACv1_scaffold_249115_3DL